GACGAACGCUGGCGGCGUGCUUAACACAUGCAAGUCGAACGAAGUGGCGAACGGGUGAGUAACGCGUAAUCAACCUGCCCUUCCGAGGGGGACAACAGUUGGAAACGACUGCUAAUACCGCAUACUGAAGGAGGGGCUUGCGGCGGAUUAGCUAGUUGGAGGGGUAACGGCCCACCAAGACGAUGAUCAGUAGCCGGGUGUAGAGGAUGAACGGCCAAAUUGGGACCUAGACACGGCCCAGACUCCUACGGGUGGAAGCAGGGGGGAAGCUUCCGCAAUGGACGAAAGUCUGACGGAGCAACGCCGCGUGAGGGAUGACGGCCUUCGGGUUGUAAAGCUCUGUUAAUCGGGACGCGGUACCGGAAUAGAAAGCCACGGCUAACUACGUGCCAGCAGCCGCGGUAAUUC
rnacentral:rRNA from 1 species